AAUACCCUUUUCAUUGAGAAAGAAAAAAGUGUUCUGACAGUGGUAUUAUGUUGUUUCUAAGAGGUCACCAAAGAGAGCCAGGCUCUGAGAGUCUUAUUUGUCCUAUUAGAAGGGGCAUUCAUCUGGACCUCAGAUUGACAUCUGGAAUGAGUCUCUCAGCAUCCUCAGACAGUUGUGCUCAUCAUCGAUCCAGACAAGCACCCUCCCAACAAAUAAGCAUUUCCAUAGCCAGGCUUAUUUCCUUUAGGCUUAUCUAUUGCGUCAUGAAUAAAGAACAAUAUGUGGUAUUAAAUAAUGGAAUUCUUAUAUUAAUAGCCUGGGAAAAUGUGACCUUGGAUUGUCCUAAAAAUUACAUCAAAUCUAUUGGGAAAAUAAAAAUAACUAUAAAUUUGAAGAGUAAAUAAUGUAUCAAAAUUAUAUGUAGUAUAAUUACAGUACAAAUAAAAGUAGAAGCAACUAUAUUCUGAAUGUUCCAGAUAAAGAUUAUAAAUAUCAAUGUUUAGCACACUUGCAUUUCACUACAAGAUUAUUGUUUGUCAUCCAGUAUAAAAUGGUGAAAAGGAAAUAUGGCAAUGACUCCGAAAUUAUUCAGGUUAUUAUUUUUAAAAAUGGAAGAAACACUAAAAUUCCUUUAACCAUAUAGAGACAUUCACAAGAAAAAAAUAUAUAUCAAAAAUAGGAGUUCCUGUUGUGGCUCAGUGGUUAACAAAUCCGACUAGGAACCAUGAGGUUGCGGGUUCAAUCCCUGCCCUUACUCAGUGGGUUAACGAUCUGGCGUUGCCGUGAGCUGUGGUGUAGGUUGCAGACGCGGCUCGGAUCCCGCGUUGCUGUGGCUCUGGUGUAGGCUGGUGGCUACAGCUCCAAUUCGACCCCUAGCCUGGGAACCUCCAUAUGCUGCAGGAGCGGCCCAAGAAAUAGCAACAACAACAAUAACAACAACAACAACAAAAAAAAGACAAAAGACAAAAAAUAAAAAAUAAAAAAUAAAUAAAUAAAAAAUAAAAUAAAAAAAAAUGAAAAGUUACAAUCAACAUCACAGAAAUGCCAAAGACUAUAAGAGAUAACUAUGAACCAAUAAAACAGAAAGCCUAGAAGAAAUUAAUAAAUUCCUAGAAACAUACAGUCUGCCAAGACUGAAUCAAGAGGAAAUAGAAAAUAUAAGCAUCUAAUAACCAUUAAUAAAAUUGAAUCAGUAAUUUAAAAAUUCCUAACAAAAGACAAGGACCAGAUGGCUUUAUGGGUGAUUUCUACAAAACACUGAAACAUUUAAUGAAAAGUUAAUGCUUAACUUCUCAAACUUUAAGGAAUUAAAUAGGAAGGGGUACUGUCAAACCCAUUCUACAAGGACAGCAUUACCUUGAUACCAAAACCAAAGACACUACAGAGAAAAAGGAAUAUUACAGGUCAACAUUACUGAUAAACAUGGAUACAAAAAUUACCAACAAAAAUUAGCAAACCAAAUUCAGCAAUAUACCAAAAGGGUCACACUUGAACAUAAUCAAGUGGGAUGCAAGGAUGGGUCAGUAUUCACAAAUCAGUGUGAUACUCCUCCUCAUAAAAUUGAGAAAAAAUCAUAUGACCUCAAUAGAUACACAGAAAUCUUUUGACAAAAGUCAUCUUCCGUUUGAGAUAAAAUGCAUGAGUUCCCAUUGUGGCUUAGCAGAAAUUAAACUAAUAUUCACGAGGGUGUGGGUUUGAUCCCUGGCCUCACUCAGUGGGUUAAGGAUCCAUCACUGCUGCAAGCUGUGGUAUAGGUCUUAAAUGAGGCCCACAUCCUGUGUUGCUGUGGCUGUGGGGUAGGCCAGCAGCUGCAGCUCUGAUUCAACCCCUAGUAUAGGAACUUCCAUAUGCCACAGGUGCAGCCCU
rnacentral:lncRNA from 1 species